CACGUAGGGUGCGAGCGUUGUCCGGAAUUAUUGGGCGUAAAGAGCUCGUAGGCGGUGUGUCGCGUCGGCCGUGAAAACCUGCAGCUUAACUGUGGGCUUGCGGUCGAUACGGGCAUCACUGGAGUUCGGCAGGGGAGACUGGAAUUCCUGGUGUAGCGGUGAAAUGCGCAGAUAUCAGGAGGAACACCGGUGGGCGAAGGCGGGUCUCUGGGCCGAUACUGACGUGGAGGAGCG
rnacentral:rRNA from 1 species